rnacentral:rRNA from 1 species
GAGUAAUGGUUCGUAGAGAGCCUGCGGAGGAUCAUUC